ensembl:lncRNA
CUCCGUGAUGGUCGAAGAUGCUACAGAAACACAGCUUGACCCCACCUCUGACUGAGGUUGUCACACAGCAGUGUCACACAUAGCCACUCUGAGGAGCAGGAUUUAAGGUUGCCAUUCCUCUGCAGAAGCAUGAAAGCUGACCAGCAGCAGCAGGAGGAGGAGGAGGUUAAAAAAGGAGAGAUUACAGGAGGAAAAAACUUUGAUGCGUACAUAUGCAAAUGAGGCUGGAAAUGUCAAAUUAGCAUAGAUUUGGGUCGGCCUCCCUCGCAGCUACGGGCAGCCGGGACGCCUGACAGCUCGGCCCGCGUCCAGACGGCCUGCUUUACAUAUUAGAGAGGCCUCCCAUCGCCGCGGGUUACCACCAGCAUCUCGUCGCCUAGGAGACUGAUGGAGACUGACAGGGCGGACGGCCUGAGUGAUAGACUGACGGCUGAGAAAGAGAGAAAGAGAAAGAGGGGGGAUUAGCUGUGGGCCUCGCUCGUCCACAGAAUGUAAACAGGCUCGAUUAUGUAAAUGUGUUGUUAAUUUAAUCAAUUACUGCCGGAGUGUUCAGGACGACCCUGAGCCGAGCGCCACGAUGGACCCCACACUACAGACACAGCACUGAGAAAAUCUUCAUCAUCUCAUCUUCACCUCAUCCUUUUAUCUGACUGUUUGUGUUCUGUAAUUAAAUUCUGUUUCAGCUUGAUUUCUGUGCAAACCUCUACAGGUGAAGCAGGUAAGACAGCUGCCUGCUCAGGUAUGUGUGAACCCUGCAGCUUUAAGGACACAGCUCCCCCUGCUGGGGGACACUCAGAUGGCAGCGAGGACAAGAUCCAGGUCCUGCACCUAGGUGUGGAUCCUCCAGCCAGAUGUUUGAGCUUCAUUUCAAACCUUAAAAACCAACAAAUAUAAAGAAAGACAUCCUGAAAAACGCCCGACAUUUUCAAACCUGCUGCAUGCAAAGAUACGCA